GAAAGUUUAAGAGAACUAUUUAGAAUUUUUAGCCAGAGAGACCUAGCACCUAUCAAGCUACAAAAUCCUGAUUGCCAUUGGAUGCUGCCAUUGUGGGUUAUGCCAUUUUCUGAGCAUAAGAAGUGCCUAGCCAGACCAUGCCAAAGACCUAUCCACUAACUGGUCCACCAUUCUGUUUCAACACAGAUUGUUCUUCAACCAGUGUGACUUAUAGAACUCCACAAGAAAAAUGUUGAUACAAUCAGACUGCCAAUGAUUAUUUAGCAACCAAUAAAAGGAACUAUCCAAGGUGCUGAUCUCUGUCCUCCAAGCUUCAGGUCUCUUUAAGGAGGAUGAAAUGUGCUGAACCCUAUUUCUAAAAAUUAUGACCAAAACUGAACUCCCACUAGAAACCAAAAUGACUAACAUGAGUUUGUCAUAUUUUGGGAGAUAUUGUAAGACAAUAUGAUUUAUUGAAAAACACAAUGCUUGACAAAAAGGAAGGUCAUAAAUAAAAGAGGAAAACCUCAA